AGGAGGCAGCAGUGAGGAAUUUUGGACAAUGGGCGCAAGCCUGAUCCAGCCAUUCCGCGUGAGUGAAGAAGGCCUUCGGGUUGUAAAGCUCUUUCGCAAGGGAAGAAACGUUACUCGUGAAUAACGAGUGAUAAUGACGGUACCUUGAUAAGAAGCACCGGCUAACUACGUGCCAGCAGCCGCGGUAAUACGUAGGGUGCGAGCGUUAAUCGGAAUUACUGGGCGUAAAGCGUGCGCAGGCUGUUUUGUAAGUCAGAUGUGAAAUCCCCGAGCUCAACUUGGGAACUGCGUUUGAAACUACAAGACUAGAAUAGGUCAGAGGGGGGUAGAAUUCCACGUGUAGCAGUGAAAUGCGUAGAGAUGUGGAGGAAUAUCAAUGGCGAAGGCAGCCCCCUGGGAUCAUAUUGACGCUCAUGCACGAAAGCGUGGGGAGCAAACAGGAUUAGAUACCCCAGUAC
rnacentral:rRNA from 1 species